rnacentral:lncRNA from 1 species
AUGUCAAAACAAAACAAAACAAAACAAAACAAAAAAAUAGACAACUGGAAACUGAUGGAUUCGAAGAGUGAUCUGAAAAAUCUAUUUGAUGCCCAAACCCACGAUGGUUUUUUACACUCUACAAACUUUAUUAAGAAAGGUGCUGAUUACGUUUUUAGAUACAGUCUCAACAUACUCCCUGCACUGUCUUUGUUCCGCACAGGAUUCGGGAGUGUAACCAGGAAUGUAAUUAGGAAUGCAAUGCGGAGGAAGGGCAAGGCCUGUCCCUUUCUUCUUCAGCUGCUGUGUGGUGCCAGGGUCCUGCCUGCCCAUCUGAGGACAUGCCUGCUCAUCACCCACGUGCAUCCUGUCACAGUGGGACUGCGUGUGUUCCCUGCUCAUUGUCACUUCCAUGGUUUUGCUGAUUCUAUGCGAUUCUUCCAGGCCACUCCAAGUUCCACCUCUUCCACGAAGCCCUCCUUGAUUGCUGGGCCCUGGUUGAACUUAUUAGUAACACCCAGGUUACUUCUACUUAAUUCUUGCCUCCAGCCAAAGUGGACUUAGAACCUCCUUGCAUGCCUGGUAAAGUCAAGGUGUUCAGCCAGGGCCUGGGUAUAAAGCGGAAGCAACACAGUGUCUGGUUUGAAGCUUAGGGCUUGGGUUCAGACGGUUGUGGGUUACAAUCCCUUCUACGCGUGUUGCCUGUGGAAACCCUUUGGUUCUCUGUGCCUGGAGCUCGCCUGUAAUGGGACAAAACCAUCUCACCUAGAUUGUUGUUCUGAGGAUUGAAUUAGGUGAUUCUGAAAGGUGUUUAUGAGUCUUCCCUGAUUGACAAUCCAUGAAAAGUGGGCGUUAUUGCUGAAGCUCACAGAAGAAAUAUGAAAUUUGAUUAUAUCCUGAUUCAUGGCAUUGGGUCACCACCUCAGCAGUUUUUAUGAAAGUAGCGUCUGACCUGGCAAAGGCUGUGUCAUCUUAUUAUCUCAGAAAGGCAAAUUUACGGGGUCAGAUGAUGGACGGCCAGGUUUCAGGCUUGCAGAUUUCUCAAUGGGGUGGAAGGAAGGAGAGAAAAAGAGAGACAGGAGAGAGUACACACUUAAUUCUACUUCUCCUAGGGUGAUGUUUCCUUCUUCCCCUUCCAGAGUUCUCAAAAAGGCAUUCUAGGAAGUCCUGUAAAAUACAUGCUCAUACAACAUCUCCUAAUUUCCACAAAUUGUUGAGAAUUUAAAAACUCAGUUGGGGGUUUGCUGUUCUAGCCUGAGACACCAGGGUCACGUUUCAGUGCUUGCAGUCUUGACAGUACCAGGCAUCUGGGAUGAAGUUGGGGAAAGAAGGUCUGGUGACCCUGCUGGCCUGCCUCUCUUGAAAGAUGCUUACUGGCUGCUGGCUCCAUCACUGGUGUGUCACAGGGCUUUAGGAUUUGGAAAAGCAGAGGAUGUAAAACAAGACGGAAUGGUCAGAAUUUAGAGAACCAUGUGCCAAAGUGCCAUCUUUAGGGUGCUCAUAACACGACCCUACGACAUUAGAGGUGCUGGAAUCAUGGAAGAGGAAUCCAGACUCUGUAAUCUUCUUCCCCCUGGAAAAUCUUUGCUGGAACUGGGGGAUUGGAAGCUGUCAACACAUGAGCCAUCUUCUGCUCUGUUCAAGAUGGUAGGGGCGUUCUCGACACGCCCCUCCCUCUGAUUCUGCCUCACUUUUAUUUUAGAAUUUUCCACUGCCUCUUCUGGAAUGUGCUUUUUCACCCCUCGAAAUCUGUAGAGAAGAAAUAAGCAGAAACUGAAAUGGCUUUCUGGUGUUAAAUGCUCUCAGCUUAGUGGAAAAUCGAGCGUUGGGCUCGAGGCUGGACUUUUGCGGAGAGCACUGCAAUAGUGCUGUGGCCUUGCCUUUCUUUCUCAUCACCCGGGUACAGUCCUGCAGUCCUCAGAGGAUGCCAGUCCCACACAGGGGGAUCCUCCUCCGCAGGAAAACCGAGGAACAAUGCAGGUUCGAUGUGUAAGAUGGCCAAGCACAUUCAAUCUUCGAGAUCUUUCCUCCCAAACCCUAAUGCUACCUCAAGAUGGGCUGCUGCCUGCUACCAUUUCAACAUCGAGUCCUUUAAGGUGCCACCUGAGAGAGAGACGGGAAGCGAGAGGCCAAGAAAAAUGAAAGGUAAGCACGAGACCAGUGGAAUGAGUGGGGAGAUCCGUCUGUCCGUCUGUCUGUCUGUCUGUCUGUCCGUCUGUCUGUCUGUCUGUCUGUUUGUUUGUUUGUUUGAAGUGUCUUCUGCUUGGCUGAGGUUAUCGCUCUUCAGGGGAGGCGGAAGUGCUUCUCUUCUCGUCUCUGAUCGCUCCGCAGCUCUCAGGAAACUUUGACAAACACGUCGCAGCAGCGAGUGGAAACACGUCUGAGACGCUGCAGCGCAGCCCGGCGGGUUCUGUUCUUAGCAGUAUUUGCUAAGUUCCAUCCAUUCGAGUGUUUUUCAACAAUGGGAGGCAUGUCAUCUUGAUUUGACAGGAUAAUCCUGAGUUUAUAGAAUUUCAUCACAGUGUGUGAAACUGGUUUUUCACUUCACUAUACUGGCCCUCAGCGGUGGAGUAAACUGGACACUGAAUAGAACAAAUCUCCCUCCUCCGUGUUGUCCCCCAGCCCACCAGCGUUCGCCCUAAGCUCUGCCCUGCACCAGCGCCAGCCUUCUAUUGGAGAUUGGCAGCUGCGGCCACCGCUGGCUAUCUCUCAACCACUCCACAAUAUGUAUCAGUGUGUUCUACAAAUCAUUGUAUUUGCCAAGCGUGAAUUCAGAGCAAAGUGUAGACCUCGUUUGGAUCCCAGUUGAGGCAAGCAAAUCUUAAAAUGUGCAUGAGACUGUUGGAGAAAGGCAAACACAGAUAGGAUAGGUGUUGACAUUAAAGAAAUCUUAAUUUUCUGUGUGUGGUGAUGGUAUUGUGGUUAUUUUAAAAAGGGAGUGUCGUCCAUGCCUUUUGAUGUUAUAUAUAUUUUUAAUUACAGAUUAACAUGAUUUUCCAAAUGUGCUUCAAAAUAAUUCACGGAAGUAAGUGAACUCAGGAAUACAAAAUAAUAAAUUUAGCCACAAGGUGUUUAUUGUUGAAGGUAGGCGAUGGGCAUGUGGGAAUUUUUUAUAUAAUUCUCUGUACUUUUGUUCCUGUUAGGAACUUUCCGUAAUAGAAAUUAAAAGAAGAAAUGAGGUAGGACAACUGGGAUAAGCAGAAGACAAGGGUGGACUCACAGCCUCUCCUCCACAGAUGCUGCGGGGCCAGGGUGAGCGUCAGCACCCUGAGUGCCUGCUCUGAGGCUGGAGCGGCUGGCUUCGCUGCCUUCCUGUCUGAGUGCAGCAAGAGGUGGAGGGAGGACUGGGGUGCACCUUCUGCAGGGGACAAUGCUUUGGACACAGCAAACGUGCAGAGCCCAGUGCCCUGUGUGGGGACAGAGGAGUGUGGGUGUCAAAAAAGGAGACCGCUUUUCCAUUCUCUUGGGAUCCUCCUUCACUGGAAGAUUUGGGGCAAUGCACACGCCUAACCUCCCUCCGCUUUCAUGGCCUCAUGGAGAAAAGGGUUCCCUCCCCCAUUCACACGUUUGUGGUCGUGAUCACGGUGAUUUAACGCACUAGUUUGCUUUCCUGAUAGGAGGACGUAACGGUAGAAGGUGAGAAGGGCAAUUCUACCAUCUGGUAAGAAAAAAUGAGAAAAGGGGUAACAGAGGCAGUUGUAUGAAAAAUCAGAACUACUAAAUAAUCCACAGCCAAUUUGCUGUGGCAUCCAACUGCAAUCCCCAAGACGAGCGUCCAAAAGCCACCAGGAGGCCAACCCCCUCAUUUGCUUUCAUUAGAAUUUUUCCUUUUUCUUUUUUCUUUCUUUCUUUUUUUUUUUUGGAGACAGAGUCUCUGUCUGUCACCAAGGCUGGAGUGCAUUGGUGUGAUCUUGGCUCACUGCAACCUCUGCCUCCCGAGUUCAAGUGAUUCUCCUGCCUCAGUCUCCCAAGUAGCUGAGAUUACAGGUGUGCACCACCACGCCCGGCUAAUUUUUGGUAUUUGUAGUAGGGACAGGGUUUCACCAUGUUGAUCAGGCUGGUCUCAAACUCCUGACCCCAGGUGAUCUGCCCACCUCGGCCUCCCAAAGUGCUGGGAUUACAGACGUGAGCCACCUUGCCUAGCCUUUCAUUAUAAUUUUUCUAAGAAUUGACAUUACUUUAGAGUCUUCCCUAAUCAAAACUAAAAUAACUUUUAGAAUAACGGCAAAUUACCUCCAAUAGGGCCUGGAUGAGAUGAUGGAAUGGGGUACAGAAAGAAGAGGGAAGCUGGGCCUCCAGGAGACCCUCAGCCCAGGACUGAGGAGUGUCAGGCCCCGGAGUGUGUGGUGUGUGCUGGGGUGUGGCGGGUUGUGUACGUGAGGGUGGGGAUGGGGGUUGCGGGUGUGUGUGUGUCGCACAUGCAGGUGUUGCACGUGUGUGUUGGGUUGUUGGUGAGAAUUAGGUGUGGGUGCACGUUGGGUCUGUGGAGGGGUUAUUUUUGGGUGCUGUGUGCAUGUUGGGUGUGUGUAGGAUUGUUUUGGGUGCCGCGUGUAUGUGAAAAAUUUCUCUCUUUAAACUCAGACUUUGGACCCUGGAGGUUUUCCUCAUAGGUCCUUGGGAUUCUAGGGCAAUAAGGAGAAAGGAUAUUUUCUUAGGAGAAGCCACAUCGCUGGACUGUUGAAUUGCCACAUCCAGUACAAUCAGAUUCUAUUAGCCGUUAGGAUAGAAUGUGAAACUUCUCAUUUACCUUAAGCACUGAGCCAAAUGGAUUUUUUUUAAAAAAAAAAAGCAAGAAAAAAUCAACACAGAUGUUCAGAAAUGGGUCAUGAGACGGGGCCAAAUGAGAAGCCUCUCAGAUCUUGGGAACUAUGAGUCACUUAAAAGGCCUCCAGUCCUGGGAGAAAUGAUGCCUGCCCUUACAAAGAUUCCCAGUUCACUUUCUGCGGGCUGGAGCAUUUUUCAGCCAUCCCAGAAUUGUUGUUCUUUGUUUUUUGUUUUUUUGGGCGACGGAGUCUCGCUCUGUCACCCAGGCUGGAGUGCAGUGGCACGAUCUCAGAUCACUGCAACCUCUGCCUCCCAGGUUCAAGAGAUUCUCCUGCCUCCUGAGUAGUUGGGAUUACAGGCAUCUGCCAUCACACCAGGCUAAUUUUUGUAUUUUUAGUAGAGACGGGGUUUCACCAUGUUGGCCAGGCUGGUCUCGAACUCCUGACCUCAGGUGAUCCUCCCGCCUUGGCCUCCCAAAGUGCUGGGAUUAUAGCUGUGAGCCACCAUGCCUAGCCUGAGAAUUGUCUUUUUGGCCAACUGGGGGAAAAACACUUGAAUGGAACUUAA